rnacentral:lncRNA from 1 species
ACUUAGUGUGGUCUGCUGAUCUUUCUGCUCGCCUCCCAGGCUGGCUCAGUGACUUGCUCUGCUGUCUCUUGUCCAGACAGGCUCUUCCUCAAGCCCUUCGUGAGGCUACUUUCUCUUUAUUUAGGUGGAAAGAUCUCUCUCCCAGGGGCCUUCCCAGAUGCUCUGAGGUUAGCAACUGCCCAGUUGGAUUUUCACCAUCACACGCAGCAGGUCACACUAUCUCAGCUCAACCUUGGUGGCUUAGUUACUGUUUUAUGCUCUACCCCAUGGUGGGAAAGGGCUCACUAUUGAGGCAGGCACAUUUGAGAACAUUCCUAGUACUUCCCAGUGCUUAGCAAUGGCAGCCAUUCAUUAAAUAUUGGUUGAAUAAAUGACAGAGAAUGAGAGUGGUUUAAGCAGCAGCAAGAACAACAUCAGAAAGCUAAAAACUAAAAUAAACACCUUUGCUAAAAAGCCAGAGUCACCAUCAAACACAUGGGUUUUAAACGUGUAUGUGUAAUUUUUAUUAUUUUAUUUGCAUAUAUAUUUAUUUUUUAUUUUUAUUUUAUGUGUAUUAGUGUUUUGCCUGCAUGUAUGUCUGUGUGAGGGUUGCAGAUCCCCUGGAACUGGAGUUACAGAUAGCUGUGAACUGUCAUAUGGCUGCUGGGAAUUGAACUGAAUUCUUUGGAAGAUCAGUCAGUGCUCUUAACUCUCAACUCUCCGUUUGCUUGUUUUUUUUAAAAAAAUAUUUGUUUGUUUGUUUGUUUGUUUAAUGUAUGUGAGUACACUGUAGCUGUACAGAUGGUUGUGAGCCACCAUGUGGUUACUGGGAGUUGAACUCAGGACCUUUGCUAGCUCCUGUCCACUCACUCCAGCGAGGCUCACUCUGGCCCUGUUUGUUUGGUUUUUGAGGCAAGGUCUUAAUGUAGGCCAGGUUGGCUUGUAACUCACACGAUGUAGCCAAGGAUGAUCUUGCACGUCUGAUCUUUCCAUUUCCACCUCUAGAGUACUAGGACUAUAGGUGUGUGUCACCAUGCCCAAUAUAUGUGGUGCUGGUCAUUAAACUCUGGACCUUGGGCAUGCUAGGCCUCCACUCUACAAAUUGAGCUACACGCCAAGCCUGUUUUUUAUUCAUUCUUUUAUUUUUAAAGAUGCAUUUAUUUCUGUUUUAUGUGUGUGAAUGUUUUACACGUAAGUAUGUAUGUAUAUAUAUGUAUACCACAUGAGUGCCUGGUCCUCUCUGGGGUCUGAAGAGGGCAUCAGAUCCACUGGAAUUAGAGUAAGAGACAGUUGUGAGCUAUCAUGUGGCUGCUGGAAACCAAACCAAACCUUUUCUCUAGCAAAGCAGCCAGGACUUUAAAUUUCAGAACCAUCUCUCCAGCCCUUUCAUCCCAGUUUUUAACAUUUUAUAUCAGGGAAGAAGAAGCCCAGCUGUGACAGAGAAAAAGAAUCCACGGGGGCAUAUGGUUCACUGUAGAGAGGGAUAAUAUAAUCUGACUAAGAUAGACAGAGAGGCAAGGCCAGGAAUGGAGGCACAUACUUCUAACCCCAGAAUUCAGGAGGCAGAGACAGAGGCAGGUAGAUCUCUAUGCGCUCAGAACCAACUUGGCUACAUAGCAAG